rnacentral:rRNA from 1 species
AGCAGCCGCGGUAAUUCCAGCUCCAAUAGCGUAUAUUAAAGUUGCUGCAGUUAAAAGCUCGUAGUUGAAUUUCGGGAUCAAUAUGUCGGUCGUGCCUCGGUACGCACUGGCUUAUUGGUUUCUCCCUUCUGACGAACCAUGAUGUCAUUAAUUUGGUGUCUUGGGAAAUCAGGACUGUUACUUUGAAAAAUUGAGUGUUUAAAGCAGGCUCACGCUUGAAUACAUUAGCAUGGAAUAAUGAAAUAGGACGUUUGAUUCUAUUUUGUUGGUUUCUAGGAUCGACGUAAUGAUUAAUAGGGAUAGUUGGGGGCAUUAGUAUUCAAUUGUCAGAGGUGAAAUUCUUGGAUUUAUUGAAGACUAACUACUGCGAAAGCAUUUGCCAAGGAUGUUUUCAUUAAUCAAGAACGAAAGUUAGGGAUCGAAGACGAUCAGAUACC